ACGGGGCAUAGCUUAACUAAAGCAUUUCGUUUACACCGAAAAAAAGUCUGUUAAACUCGGACUGCCGCGA
rnacentral:tRNA from 1 species